rnacentral:lncRNA from 1 species
ACAGUACAUUUGGGUAAAAAAACUUACAGCUGUAGGAAGUGGGAUAUCUCUGGAAUACCUUGUAAACAUGCUAUUGCAGGUAUGUUUUAUAUGCAUUAUCCAUCUGAACAGUUUGUGGUUGACUGCUACAAAAAGGAAACAUUCUUGAAGGCUUACACUAGGUUGAUGAACCCUAUGCAUGGCUCAUAAGAAUGGCCAAAAUCUUCGAGGAUUCCACUACAACCCCCU